UGGCAGUUAGUAAGUUUAGCCCCACCUCCGUUGCUGGGCAACCUGACUUGGCAGGCACUGGCCCCACCUCCCAGGUUCAUAAGCUAAAGCCGCUUGGCUGUGGAAAAGAGCAGAGCACAAGAAAGCUACCAACCACAGACUGGGGUUGCUGCUCCCCUUCCGAGUCAGGCAAAACUAGGAGCAGGACUAUCAAGGGCUUAGGACAUCCGACUUUAGUCCAAUAAACACAGGAUCCUUAUGGGACAUCUUUCAGAGUCCACAGGAGGCCUCUGGGCGAAGGCUGCUAAGCCUGAAAAGAGCUGGUUCACAGCCACAGUUGAGGACAGCUUGGAGGGAGUGCCGGUCCACAACAGUGUGUUCUUGACAUGGAGAUUCAGCAGUGCUUGGAUACGAUCUAUAAGAAUAGUCUUAAGAUACAGUGGAACCCAAGUUUGUUACAGAAAAUCAGGACGGGGGAGCAAAGUCCCGGAGUGGAAAGGGGGAAGGGAAACGCAGUUGAGGCACUAGCUUCAGGAGGUGGGAGUUACAGUGCAGCUCAGGUCUCCUGACAGCCAGAGAGCGUGUCAGGUUAAAGCUUUUUUUUUUCUUUUGGUUGAAUUUGUAAACUCAAGUUCACACCACAUGGCUGGAGUUAAAACAGUGAAUGCUCUGCCCAGUGCAUUUCACGUGGAAAGUUAGGUUGGGAGGUAUUGUGACCCCUUUUAAGUUGCUGGUCUCCUUUCACAAUUAUUGGUACCUAACACUCCCAAAAAGUGUGUCUUGAUAUCAAGGGUCAAGCCCUCCCUGCUUCUGCAUUCAAAAGCUCUUAAAUCUUGCACAAGAUACACACUCAAUGUGCCAUUGGGAAUUUGAUCACAGUGAUCAGAGACGUUAAAAGUGAUAGGCCUCCUGAGCAAUGUUCAGGAGCUACUAUGAUGUGGGGUGGGGGCGGGCACAAGUUUUUGUGGAAUUGCUAGUAUACUGGAAGAUCUUCUGGAGAAGGUAGAGUAGAAUAGAAGCCUAAGAUGAUAUACAUAUUAUAUAAAUAAAAAAUAAGGUCCAGCCUGGACUUGGGAGUGUGGGGCAUUCCCUGGCAGCUGAUAGCAAUAAUGGUCAGUGAAAAAAUAAACUGGUCUUAGCAGGUGAUCAGUAUGGAUGUCAAAGAAGACUGUCUCGACCAAUGCUAGAAGACUCAGAGGAUUUGGAAAGACCAAAUAAAAAGGGCAAUUGUAGCAGAAAAAGUACAGGGCUUAAGGAGCAAUGGACACUCACAGAGGGAGACAGUAGGCAAAGCAGACCGGGUGGAAAUGUCACAAGGAGUGGAUAUACCAAGGAAGGCUAGGUGGCCCAGACACCCACUGAACAUUUUCAUGAUGAUAAAAGCUGAGGACCUUAUUUUUUAAGUGUAGUCCAGUGGUUUGAACUUCCAGUUUUAAGUGCCAUUAGCCUGAGGGGCCAACUUUAUGAUUCAAUGCACUGAAGCAAGAUGUGUUUACAAAGACCAGGAGAGGUUCUGAGCACAGGUAGCAGAGGAAACCCAGGUUGUAGCCAUGUGAAGGAAAAUAUAAAUAACCCAUUGUAUGGGGUAGGGGAUUUGGGGACUGAGACUGGGAAAGGACUCCAAGAGCAUGGGGGAUUAAACUGAAGACAUUUAGGCAUUUGAAAUGGCUAUCUGAUGCCUGAGCAUGCAGGGCUAGAAGAGAAACAUUAGAUAAUUCAUUUAUUCAUUCAACACACACUUGUUGGUAACCUCUGGCAUAUCCAGCUCUAUGUUGGGUAUCAAAAAGGAUAUAAAAGAUAGGUGGUGCCUCCCUUUGAAGAAUUAAAUGUGGGCUCUCAAAUGAGAAAAGAUGAAGCAAACGUAGUGGAACUGGCCCGAGGCUGGCUGCUGGACAAAUGGACUGUGGAUCCAGGAGAGGGGCUGUGGGCUCUGACUCACCAUCUUUCCAAUGUCUAUAUGGCUGGCCUGAUUUACCACAUGGUAAUCCUCUUCUCUCCAACUCCACUCUGUCCCUCUGCAAACAGCAGACUCAUCUGAAGAGAAUAGCGUCCUUAGAGGUCACAAGUAUCCUCUGGCCAGACAGCCUUGAGGAAAACGAGUGGUCCAGAUAACAGCUAUGAUGCAGCUCAUGGAAUAGAGGGGGAGGGGGGUCUCAAGUUUUUCCUAGAGGAGGUGGAGCAGGUUGGAACCCUAAACCAUGUUUUCAUUGGUGGUGUUAAUGGGGAGGAUGCAGAGUAGGUCUGGUCUUAGAGAGUAGAUCUGGACCUACUACGAUCUUCAUGCUACGUACUCUGUCCAGGAUGAAUUUCUAUACUGAGCAUCGGAAGCUGAAGAGGAGGGUGGGGAUGAGGCUGGGAGUAGAGGUGGAUGGAAGGCAGGUGGGCAGCUGGGCCAGGAGAGGGAUGGACAAGUACAUCACACUACACUUAAGUGAAGCGAAACUCCACAUUCCCACUUGCAAAUGCUUUCUAAGCAACCAGCUAAGAACACUCUUUGUCAAACCAUCUUAAUGACCUCAUCUCACAAAUGUGUGUGUGCGUGUGCGUGUUCUAACUUCUACCACUGAAGUAUAUUCACUGAAGUAUAUUUUGAGGGGAUUGCAUGCUUUGGAAUAUCCCUUUUGAGCUUGCUUGAAUGCACAUAAUUACAGUUUGUACUGUGUACAUUGUAGGAACGUCAGAGAAAAAGUCAUCGCUGUCAAGGGUAACUCUGAAGUCCCACAAGGCUUAACAGCCUUUUAAACUUACAGCAAGCAGUAGGUCACACAGUUCUUUUUAUUAAAAACAGAAACAAAAAAAAAAAAAAACCAAAACCAACUGUAAUCUUCCCCCAACACUUACCUUAAAAGAUGGUCAUCGCCCCUCAGAGACGGAAUCUGCACCGCUGUAACUUUUACUCUCUUCUUGACUGUCUUUGAUGCUGUAGGAAUUUUCUUUGACUUCAUAAAUUGAAGAGACACUGAACAAACUAACUUGGCUGCUUAGUCCCACUUGGGCACGCACAUACAGUAGGAUGUGAAGGCCACAAAUAGGAUCUGUGGUCAUAUGUAUGAAUGGUCACUCUCCUCCCAACUCCGUUGUAUUGAUGGAUAAGAUGGCCCAUCUGGCAAGAAGAACUGGUUUGCUUUUGGGUCCCUGGGACUCCCUACAUCAUCAACUGCUAGAUAUGCUCACAUCCAGUCUCUAAAUAAGGGAUUGUAGCUCCCCCAAGGUUUUGUCGAGUGACUUACUAUUUAUUGUCAAAGGGUCAGAACUCUCAUGUCUUAAUCACUAAAAAGGUCUCACCCCAAAGAACUCCCAUCUUGCCCCUCUUCAGAUGUAACACUUAAGGCUAUCCUCAACCAGGAGCAGAAAAGGAUCUUGGUCAUGUAAUUAGGUCCCUAAUGGAGUACUUAAAAAGUGACUGAAACUUUCAACUGAAAUAAUUAAGUCAACUGAAUGAGUGGCCAUUGGGCCCUCUAUGUAGCUCUGGCAAGAGCCACUGGUUUACCAAGGGGUAAGAUGAGAGGAGCAGACCUACUCCAGAAAGAGGACUAAUUGAUGCCACCUGGAUGGCCUUGUCCCUCUGCUGUCUCAGCAUCAUGUCCACUUUGGCAGAUGCUAGCUCUCCUCCUCCAACUGCUUCUGGUGGCUGAAGUCUGAGUUGAACCUGGCGGCUGUGUCAAUAUGCCUCUUCGGAUGUAUCAGAUGAUCAGACCUUGUCACAUAGGUUGAAGAUCAAUUUAUUGAUCAUAGUUUUGCUUCUGUGCCUAGGAACCAGAGGGAUCCUGCUUACUGCUGGGCAGGGUAAGUGUGGCAGACCUCCUCUUCCCUGCCUGAAAGGAAGACUAGCGACAAGGCAGAAGUUAUCUCGGGCUGUCAGGGGUGUCUUGGGGAAUAGGAGUCCCUAUUUCCAGUGCUGAAUAAGCUCACAGGCAUCCAGCUCCAAGAAAAUUUGAGAAGUUCCCCAGCACUCUGGUGAGUGAAGCCUUGUCCAGCAUCCUUGCAGCAAGACUUUUCAGCCAAACAUCAAAGAACACUACCCUCCUCUGGUGAAGACAGACGUCUGCCUCAACAUGUAAGGCUCUUCUCAACUGACAACAGAGAAGGGAGGACCUCAGAUGAAAACAUGCCCUUUAGUUUCCUGAAUAUAAAAGUUUGGUGGGGCAAGUGCCCUGCACCUGCAACGUAUCUGAAGCAAAAGUCACUAGUUUCCCUUUCUAGUUUGAAAUCCUUUCUAAAAAAAAUAAGCAAAUAAAUAUAAAAUU
rnacentral:lncRNA from 1 species